UCCCACAGCAGCCAUUGUU
rnacentral:snRNA from 1 species